UGGAUAGAAUUAUGUGAUCCUUCCGUAACCUAUAGGAUGUCCCUCCAAGUUGACUACUUAAAAAUGGUGAAAGUCCUCAAUAGCGCUUGGGGGACUAGAGUCCUCUAUUUAUCUCUAUGGAUAGGGGGACAGUGAGACAUGAUAGGCAGUUGGUUUUGGGGAUUCGCGCUGUUGACUCGACGUCACACUCGGUGGGGGUUAUAAAAAUCCCAUGAAUUUAUUCUGCAGUCAUUCGCAGUGAGAAAAGCAAUAGACAAAGCAGUCACACUGUACAAAAUUGGAACAGAAACAGCCAACAAAAUGACGACUGUUUACAUUGGAUUCCUUCUCCUUGCCAUGCUUUUUUCAUCACAGGUCCAUGCGCAAAACGUUACCACACAGCCCCUUCCUACGAAUGUGACCAAAGCUGACUUCACGAGUUCCACGCUGCUCUACAUCACUACCACGAACGUCACUACCACGAACUUCACCACCACAAACGUCACUACCACGAACGUCAGUACCAUGAACAUCUCCAUUCCUCAAGGAGCCAGUGUGUCCUUGCAGUCCAGUGCAUUCGCUCCUCCUCACUGUGGUGGGCUUGCUCCUACAGGGCUGCUUCUAGAGUGUUCAUCUGCACGGAACAAAAGCCUAGACUAACAUCGGCAUCCUAGAUGUGCAAAUGUUUUACAAAGAGCACAUUAUUAUUUCUCGGAAGGUAACCACUUGCGCACCUAAGCUGUGGGAUUCGGUGGCACGUGCAAAAACACUUGUCUUUUCAUUGAUGGGAAUCUUGUUUGUGCUCACGCCUUCCGGCUGCUUCAAACCGCAGGCCUACACUCUGUGCUCACACCUUCCGGCUGCUUCAAACCGUAGGCCUACACUCUGUGCUCACUGGCCCCAAGCCCAUGGUGUGGCAACAAGCUGUCUCACUGCAGAAUGAGACAUUUGUCCGUAUACCUUUUUGAGGUUGUUUAGGCAUUAAUUCACAAAUGGUUAAGGAUCGGGAUGGGGCCAUUUAAAGUGCUUAACACUGGGAUUGAACACAUGACUAAUUAAUGGUAAUAGUGCUCGCUGUUGCCCCUAGUGGCCAAUUUGUAAGUAAUCUCCUGACAUCCUGCUUACCUGGAAAGAUGUCUAAUUUUGCAGUGGUUCUUUAGUGACCUGGCUGUUGCCUCCAUGGAGGCAGGCCACGAUGAGGAUCUAUUAAACUAUUCUUUGACUCAAUAUUGUGUAAUUGCAGACCGCAAUUCAUGGGGUUUCUGGAUAUCAGGAAAAGCACAUUGGUGCCUGCUUUUCCUGGUAAAGAAACACCCUGAAUUUGUCAGUUCCGGUGUUGAGACUGAUGGUUUCUCAACAUUUGUUUACAUGGCACGUAAGGAUAAUUAAUGUGGCCGGUUAGGUGACUUGGUGUGCCAGGUUAGGAGAAUGAGGUAAAGGGUUAGCUUUAGAUACUGUUGUCCCCAACGUGAACUACAUGGCCACAGACCAGUGGUGCGCGUCAAUGGGUGUAACUUGAUUUCAAGAAAUGCACUGAUAUCUGAAACGCCCCUACUCUUUUGAUUCACUUGGUUCCUGAUUUCAGACAGCAGAGUUUAAUUGUGUACAUUUUGGCUGUGCCUGGGGAAAUCAACUGAAUAACUGAGGUGCAUUGUGGAAAAUAACAGCCUAUAUUUGGCUGAUCUGUGGCACUUAUGUCCUUAACAGUGCUAUUUUUACUCCUGCAACUUCAUUGGAUACUUUGUCAGAGGCUUGACGUAGCCUACACUUGUGAUGAACUUAAUGAAUUUUAUUAUGUAAACAUGUGACUUAUGUAAGUCAGUGAUGCUUUUAGAUCUCUUUGUAUGUCGGGUUCAAUAAAGCUUUGAAAUGUA